CCCGAAGUGUAUGAGAAAUCACAUCAGUCAUUAAGCAGAAGGCUCUGGUCUUCCUGUUCAAGACCUAGCCUGUAGGAUCAAUAAAUAUUUAUCCUAGGUAUUACAUGUGAGGCAGAGAAAAGGAAAAAAUCAAAAGGACAUAGAUUAAGGCAGAGCUGACCUCAGAGGUCAUCUAAUUCCUUUAUUUUGCAGCUGGGAAAAGUGAGACCCGGAGAGAGUGACUUGACUCACAUCACACAACCAAUUAGCAGCAGAACCAGAACGACUCCUGACUCUGACUUGGGGAUCCCUUUUUGGAGACGUGAAAGAGUGAGAAACUGAGGCUCCACCUCGUCCAGUGGCCACAGAUGCUGCAGUCUCCAGAAGUCAGUACCAUCUCCUGCUCCCACAGGCACAAGUUCAUAGAGGGGCCUAAGACUCAGCCUGUCGACCCUGCCUCCCUGCUGAGAUGAAGCCUGCAUCUGGAACCCUGCCCAGAGUGCAUUCACUGUCUUCCCUGGGGUCCUCUGGCAGGAUGGCGAUGUCACAAUCAAAGUAGAGUCCAGAGAGGAUGGCCAGAGAUGGUGUCCCCUGGGCCACCCUCACAAUGGACCCGCCCAGCACAAACAGGGGCUGGAGCAUGAAAAGCCCCAAAUUCUGCCCUCCAUCUACUCCCAGGACCUGUCAGAUCCCUGAGCCUGGCUGCCAGUUAUCAUCCUUGCUGACUCCUGGGGCCCUGCUCUACCCAGAGGCUAUGCUCCAGGUAAGAGUUAGAGGUUGGGGAACAAGUACAGGGGAGGUAAGGAACCUCUUUUGCCUCAGGUUUUUAGAAUUGUAAAUCCUUCCGGGAAGAAACAACAGUGGAGUCAGCAUUGGAGAGAGAAGCCCUUGGAUUUUGACAAUGCCUGUUUGUAAGCACAAGACUUUUCUACAGGACUCAGGGAUCUCUGGCCUGACCCACCUGAAGGUACUCUGGGGACUGCUGGAGUAGGCCCUGAGGAAGACUCAGGUCAGAUAAAGCUUCCCACCCUAUCAGUUCUUUCACUUUGAAAGGCCUGGAGCAGAAUGACUUUGAUGGAAGAAAGCUGAUCUGACCGUCAAUUCAGAUGUCAGAGAUCCACCACCACCACCUGAAGUAAUCACCUACUGCCCCACCCCCAAACCUGGCCACGUUGGACCUGGACCCCAAAGAGAUAUUGCCAGAUAUAGCCAGGAGUAUCCAGUUAGGCCUGGGAGCUGAAGUUAUCAAGGGGAGGUGUUUCUAGGUGCAGAGGGUGUCCUGGGCUCUUACUAUGAGGCAGUUCCUCUUCAUUCCCUCAGAGGUAGGGGUGUCUCUCCAUGAAAAGUCACAUGAUGUUCCUGGGGGGAGCCCCUCUGCCCAGCUCCUGCUUCACCAGGCCCAAACUUGUCACAGGAUAGCCUUUUGUGAAGUCACAAAGCUGGCUGCUUCCCACAGGACCAGGGACCGGGACAAUCAGGGACUACUGGGCAUGACUUGGGGAGAUGGAAGGCUUCAGAAGUGGCCUUUGGACUCUGGAGAGGAGUCUUGAAGGGCUUAGGUUGUAGGGGGUGAAGGGAUCUGUUGGAGACCUGGGGAAGAAGACAGUUUCUCAGAUUCUGGUCAUUGCCAGGAGGUGAGAACAGCUGGGGCUUGGGGCUGUGGUCUUUGGCUAUGGGUUUGUCCCUCAAGACCCAGGGGGAGGGUGGGAAAGGAGGGCCCUGCCCCAAAUAAGUACAUAUAAAGGUCCUUUUCACUGGUGUUCUGGAUGUUCCAUGGCAAAAAGAGGUUAAGACCUCUGUCUGAGCUGGGGACCAGAUCUUCCCCUCAGCGCAAUCCAUCCAUGAUCAUCUACUUAUUGAAUAUUCCACCUGCUUCUUGGGCAAGCACAUGCGGCCAAAUUCUGUUGCAUUAAUAAGCAGCCCUGAUGGCCUUGGGGCACCUUCACCUGUUGGGCUGCUCAGAGGAAGAAGGGAUAAAAGACUAUCAAGGAGAAGAAAUGCAAGUCCCCAGCGUUCACUCUCUCUGGAGUGUUGAGAUUCUCACCACCAGAGGAGCAAACCCAGGGGAGAAAACAGGAGGGAGGAGAAAGCUUCACUACAGAAAGUGUGGAAAGUCAUCCACUGUUGUCAAAGGUCACAGUUGGUAUGUGGAGGAUGAGGAGAGCCACUUGAUGGGAGCCCUGUUCUAAAAACCAAUGAACAAAACUGUUUUCCGUGAAGUUAAGGAUUCCUGUGCCUAGCCCUGUACCUGAAUCCCUUGGACUGAGGAGGAUGCAGCACACAGUGGAGAUGACAGGUCCUGUCCUCAAGGGCCCAUAGUCUAGGGACUGAGUGAGCGUGCCCAGCUUCCUCCCUUAAAGAGAAGGCUAAUGUCCCAGGAAUGUGGCCCAAAGUCCCAGGAAAUGGUGGGGCAGCCUAGAAUCCAGGGACCCCACCUCCCAGGCCAAGGCCUUACAUUUCCCUGAAGGUAAGAACAGACUAGAAUCUUGAGGGCUUUUGACAAUUGAGCCAAGGCAGCUUCACACUGCCCUUCAGGGUCUGCAAGUCUGAGUCUUGGGGUCACUCAUUCUUUUGAGAGUGACUCUUCCUCACGUGGCUCCUCUCUUGGCCAUUUUUGUUGCUGCAUUCAAGAAGGCCUCCAGAGAGAACCUCCUGCUGUCUGCUCCAUAAAGCCAGUGGGUAUGCUGUGGGGAUAGACCUGGCCUGAGGGGUAAGCGACUAGAGGGUGACUCUGGGUAAGUUUCCCCAUCCAUCCCUCAUAAGUUUACUAGAUCCAUGGUUUUCAAAUUUUGAUAGCAUUAUUUUAGCACAGAAUCUUUUUAUUUUAACGCAGUGAAAUCUUGUACACCUGUUCAUUAAGUAGAUAAGAGAGCCAUGUUGGUAGUUGCAGGACAUGGUGUGUCAGAGUCCCUACCAAUUCUGAAGAACCCCCUACAGUUCCAAUAAACUCAGUUUGAAAACCACAUGCCACAUGGCUUCCAGACACUUCCAGGUUUGACCUGCCAUGAAUUUGUGGCUUCAAAGCCCAGGCUUCAUGGAGGAUGAGAACAGGCCAAGGAAUGCCAUGUUUAGUGGCCCCCUCAGAGCACUGCCAUGAGUACCUUCCCCCACUACCACUUCCAGUUCCUGGUUCUGACUCAGCUUAUUUACAACUGCCAAUGCAUCCCCAAGCCCACCUCUCACCUGAUCUUCUGCUGCCAACUUUGCUUCUCUCUUGCGGGCUCUAAAAUCAGCAUCUAAGCUUCUGUGGCCCGAAGUCCACAUAGGAGUCCUAAGUCAGGAGCACAGCAGGCACCUUUCUGUAGCUGAGUUCAGUAGGCAGAAAACAGGAGACUCCCUUCCUUCAGGUAGCAUUCAGCUUUGCUUGACUCUCUUCUGAGACCCUUGUAGCUUCCAGAAUUGUCCUUGUCCUUUUUUUUAAUACGGAACAUUUUUGGUUUUGUGAGGCUGAUAGCCUCACCUAGGAGCCAGAAAAGGCCCAGGGCAGCCUGGGUGGGGGACAAACCCUGUCCUCCCCAGUUCUUUUCCCCUAAGAUGCAGAGCAGAGAGGACCCAGGCAAGGUGGGCUCUCCACACCACAAGCCAGGGCAGGCCUGGAUUCCAGGGGCUUUUGUUCCAGAGAAUCUCUGAGAAGCAUCAUGGCCUUGGCUACUUUCAGGAGGACAAUGAAUUCAGGAGAGCAGAGUAAUGAUGCUGUAGAGCUUGUUACAGAGAAAGGCAGCUACAUUGCAGCUGAGAACAGAGGCUGCUCUGCCUUUAUGGCAGGGGAGGCAUGGCAAAGAGCAGACACUCCCCACCGCCAGGUGAGCCGUGGUGAGGGAAUGAACAAGGAUCCUUAGUAAGCCGACAGGCUAAUGUGAGGUUCCCAGGCUUGGCUGCACAUUUGAAUCACCUGUGGUGCUCUUCUGACCAACCAGUGCUAGAACCCUGUUCCAGGCCAAUUAAAGCAGUAUCUCUACAGGUGAGGCGCAGCCAUCUUUGUUUUCCGAAGCUCCCCAGAUGAUUAAUUUACAGCCAAGGCAGAGAACCAGUGGCCUAGGAGGAGAGAUUAGCAUUAAACAGGAUGUGGGCAUAAUGGUCUUCACCAUGAGGUGGGGCCUAGAGGCUUGAAAUCCUGGAGGCCAAGUAAGCUGGGCCCUGCUGUCACUGGAAGCCAUGGGACCCCCUCUUACCCACCUACCUACACAACCACCCACCCGCCACACACAAACUAGAGCAUCUAUUUUGGGGAAAACAGGACAGAAGUCUCAGGGAUCCAGCUCCAGGGAAGGAGAGUGUGCACUCUGGUUUAGAAUCUUGUCCCUGCCCCUCUCUAGCUGUGUGGCCCUGACAGCCCUUCUGAGUCUCAAUCCUCAUCUGUAAAAUGAGGCAAUAUUGCCUGUUUUGAGGGUGGUUGCAAGGAAGCACCCGGCUCACAGGAAGAGCUCCAGAGAUGGGGCUGUUAGCAGCAGUAGCAGCCCAAACUCAGUCUGUCAGCACAGGCAGGGCCCUAGUGAUCACCUGUCCAAUCCCUUGGUUUUUUACACAAAGACCUCAAAGUCCAGAGGGGAGAAAUUUUCGCAGGCCAUGCAGCCAGCCAGAACCAUAAUCUCCCUCCACCCAGGCAGCUUUGCAUCAUAGUGCCCUUCCUGUGUGUGGCUUUAGCUCCCCUCAUCCAGCAAAACCCUGAAAAUGAGUACUGGGGCUUCUGAAGAAGCAAGCAAAGAUUUUAAAAUACCUCUAGAAUGUCUUAUUUGAGAUGCCUGGUUGAUCCCCUUAGGGCAGAGGGUGUGCUCAGCCUAUCUGGCUACUUGGCCCUAAUGUGCUGUUUGUCUCCAGUCCCUUUUGACGUUCUUGGUACUUUGGUGCCAACUGUGUGGCCCCCUGGGUAUAUAAGGACGCCACCCUGCCCCUGGAGCCUGGGCCUGGGGUUAGGAAGGGCAGAGAGGGCAGGGAAGAGGCAUGGUUAGUUUUUAAUAUAAGCCUUUUUUGUACUCUGACUUUGAAGCCAAAGCAUUACACUGAGC